rnacentral:rRNA from 1 species
UACGGGAGGCAGCAGUGGGGAAUAUUGCACAAUGGGCGAAAGCCUGAUGCAGCUAUGCCGCGUGUAUGAAGAAGGCCUUAGGGUUGUAAAGUACUUUCAUCGGGGAGGAAAAAACAAAACUAAUAAUUUUAUUUCUUGACGUUACCCGAAAAAGAAGCACCGGCUAACUCCGUGCCAGCAGCCGCGGUAAUACGGAGGGUGCUAGCGUUAAUCAGAAUUACUGGGCGUAAAGAGCACGUAGGUGGUUUUUUUAAGUCAGAUGUGAAAUCCCUGGGCUUAACCUAGGAACUGCAUUUUGAAACUGAAAUACUAGAGUAUCAUAGAGGGAGGUAGAAUUCUAGGUGUAGCGGUGAAAUGCGUAGAUAUCUGGAGGAAUACCUGUGGCGAAAGCGGCCUCCUAAACGAAUACUGACACUGAGGUGCGAAAGCGUGGGGAGCAAACAGGGAUUAGAUACC